UUCAGUUUUAUUCUUGUCUUUGAGAGCUCAAUCACUACUUAGUUUGAAAAGACAAACUUAGCAGAUUAAAAUGAGUUCGAAGCCUCAUUUUCAAAUGCCACUGUGUAGAGUAACUUAGUCUGUCGAUUUCUCUGUAAGUGACAACUUGGUAACUCACGGUUAGGAGACGCUGGGUGGAAGAGAGUCAGCGGGCCCAUGAUCUCACUUCACCCAAGAUUUCCAUCCUGUACACAGGUCCCUGUAGGCCAUGGGGUGUGCCCAGACGAUGUCCAUGUCGUCCAGCAUCAUUGUUAGAGAAGGAUGGAGGAGGCCUUAAGAGCAGAUAACAUCACGUUACGCAGGCCCGCAGCCAAGCUCAGCCAGCAGCCGAGAGACUGUUGGCCUGGGCACGUUCACCAUCCACUUGUUGCUCACCCGCGACGUAAACAUGACCCGCUAUGUACAGAUUACUUCGGGUGUGUUAUUCGUUCGAGAUUUCAUGUGUAUAAUCUCCUCUGUGCUAUGUAGUGUGUGUGUACCUGUGGUGCUAAGAAUGAGCGGCAGUACCUGUAUGUAUUGUGGAUAUUAAUGAAGGUUCCUUAAUCGGAUGCUGUUGAGUAUGUUGGUGCUAUUGAGUAUUUCUGGGUGAUAUUGGGGAAGGAAUGUCCUAGGUAAAGAGGUCAAUGAUUUGGUAUGGGGAGAGAAGACCUUAAUUAACUGUUUGGAGAAGGUCAGGUAUUUUUGUGUGGUGCAGUGACCUUAAUUGUUUGGGGAAGGUCAACUAUUUUUGUAUUGUGAUUGAAUGCAAUAUAUUUUUUCAUAUUAAGAAAUAAAGUAGUUAGACUCUU